rnacentral:rRNA from 1 species
ACGGAAGGCAGCAGUGAGGAAUAUUGGACAAUGGGGGCAACCCUGAUCCAGCCAAACCGCGUGAGGGAUGAAGGUCCUACGGAUCGUAAACCUCUUUUAUGUGGGAAUAAUUAGUGGAACGUGUUCCACUUUGAAGGUACCACUUGAAUAAGCAUCGGCUAACUCCGUGCCAGCAGCCGCGGUAAUACGGAGGAUGCAGGCGUUAUCCGGAUUUAUUGGGUUUAAAGGGUGCGUAGGCUGUGCGACAAGUCAGGGGUGAAAGCCCGCCGCCCAACGGUGGAACUGCCUUUGAUACUGUCGCGCUGGAAUACGGAUGCCGUGGGAGGAAUGAGUAGUGUAGCGGUGAAAUGCAUAGAUAUUACUCAGAACACCGAUUGCGAAGGCAUCUCACGAAUCCGUCAUUGACGCUGAGGCACGAAAGCGUGGGGAUCAAACAGGAUUAGAUACCCUGGUA